rnacentral:rRNA from 1 species
AUUGAACGCUGGCGGCAGGCCUAACACAUGCAAGUCGAACGAGUGGCGGACGGGUGAGUAAUGUCUGUGAAACUGCCCGAUGGAGGGGGAUGACUACUGGAAGCGAUAGCUAAUACCGCAUACCAUCGGAUGUGCCCAGAUGGGAUUAGCUAGUCGGUGGGGUAACGGCUCACCUAGGCGACGAUGCCUAGCUGGUCUGAGAGGAUGACCAGCCACACUGGAACUGAGACACGGUCCAGACUCCUACGGGAUGCAGCAGUGGGGAAUAUUGCACAAUGGGCGCAAGCCUGAUGCAGCCAUGCCGCGUGUAUGAAGAAGGCCUUCGGGUUGUAAAGUACUUUCAGCGAGGAGGCGUUACUCGCAGAAGAAGCACCGGCUAACUCCGUGCCAGCAGCCGCGGUAAUAC